UGUAGUACAGGCUGUCCCCGGCAGCCGGCGGAGUCAGGGAGCCCACGUGACGGGCCCGGCUCUCCGGUGAGCUCCCCAAACAGACGCACGCCCAGCCACACGCGCGCGCGCGCGCACAUACACACACGCGCACACACACACGCACCCCCGCGCGCACACGCCCGCCGCCCGCUCUGCCUUGGCGCCCUCCAUCCCGGCUCGCUCAUUCUCUCGCCCUCUCGCCUCCCCUGCGGUCUCUCGCUCGUUCGCUCGCUCUGCGCGCACACACCACACACACGCACACGCACACACACGCGCGCACACACGCAGCCGGCACAGGCGGCGGCGGCGGCUGCCCAAGUCAGGACGAACCUCUCUAGGUACCGUCUCGAGGAGGCGGCAGCGGCGGCGGAGGCAGCCGAGCAUCCCUGCUGCCCGGAGAGGGAGCGCCGCCGAGAGUUUCCGUUCCCUUGGCCAUUCCCUUCCCCCUCCUUUGCUUUAUUUUGCGAGAGAAUAUAUUCUUGGCUUAUUGGUUUAAUUUGAUUUUGAACAUUUUGGGUUGCUUUUGUGUGUGUGUGUGCUUUUUUUUUCUUUCCUCGUUUUAUUUGCAUCCAGAGCAUGGCGGGCUGCGGGCUGUCGGAAGACACCUUCUUCUCUUCCUUCUUUUACAACUACGGCUCCUCCUGGGAAACCCCUUCCAGCCAGCGCCAGCUCUCCGGUCUCCAGGGUCUGUCGCGUCCCUCCCGAGCCCAUUCUGCCAUCGACACCUCCCCCCACCACCUCCCAGCCCAGCGGGAACCCGAGGAAGAGGCAGGAGCUGGCGCGUUACCCCGAACAACUCCAGGCGAAACCAGGGAACUCGAGCGCAACCUUCCCGAAGUCGCCGCGGGCGCCGCGCCCCUGUGCGCCCGGCGCCCGCCGGCCCUCCACUUGCGCCGAGGGGCUGCAGAGCCGCGAGCCCCCAGCGACGCGCUGUCCUGCCCACUCCCCCCGGGCCCGGAGCCACCUCUUUCCCUAAAAUGGCUGCAAUCUCCAGGAGAGGCGUCCCCUGACCCGCGGAGGUGGGGAUGGGGGGGCGAGCCGAGGCUCCGCUCCUCCUGACCCCGCGCCUCCCCGGCGCGCACGAGCACCCCACAAACACACACACUUAACUUUGAUGACUGUGCAAUGCAGUCCGGCUGCAUCGUACCCCAGACGCUCCCCGCCGCCGGCCUGUAGUGUUCGUGUCGGUGUGACGGGGGGGGGCGGGGAGGUUGGGGGUACACGCCAGAAAGGGGGGGCGUGGAAGGCGAUGGGUGUCAGCGGGCCACGGGCCACCUGGAAAGAGAGGCAUGUGCUCAGGGUCAGGAGGGGGUGAAAAAGCUAUUCUGGGAGCCAGAGCGAGAAUUAGAGGAAAAAUGCCUUUUAAUUAAAUAACUGUUGUAGUCUGC
rnacentral:lncRNA from 1 species